rnacentral:lncRNA from 1 species
AUGUUUCUUAGACUGCAGGGUGGGAGAUGUAACAAUGGCCUUGAGAACAGCAGGAAGUGUGUUGGUGGUCUUUCUCUGGUCUGUAGCAGUGGUACUGGGUCAGGAUGGCUGGAGUGUGACAUACACCACUCAGAGUAUCUGUACCUUGAAGGGGUCAUCAGUGGAUCUGUUCUGUUCAUAACAGAUCAGACUGGAGGGAAUUAUGCUGGUGAUCCUGGAGUUACUCUGUCUGUUACAGGUACAGUGAUAUUAUAUAUGGUGUGGAUCUGUUUAAUCACUGUCUGUUACAGGUACAGUGAUAUUAUAUAUGGUGUGGAUCUGUUUAAUCACUGUCUGUUACAGGUACAGUGAUAUUAUAUAUGGUGUGGAUCUGUUUAAUUGGUUCUGUCUUGAUUUGUAUUGAAAUAAUAUGAAUGUGAAAGUAUGCGUCUGAAUUGAUGAUUUGAGAACGUCCACUCUGCCUCAUUUGAACUAGACAACAGGUAAUUGAGGGCUUUAAUGUUGUUAUCUACUCCAGACCUGCAGGUGAAGGUGACCACUACAUGGUGGUCAAUGACACUGACCUGUAGCACCACCUGUACUCUGACUGGUAACCCCACCUACACCUGGUACAGGAACAGUAAGAUUGUACAAGAGGACUCCUCCCCCUCGUACACAUUCUACUUUAAAACUGAAGACAGCUUCUACUGUGCUGUAAAAGGCAUCAAUUCUCCUGCAGUGUGUGAGUGUGACUAAUACACUUUUUAAAGUCUUUCAAAAUCAUCCAAUCA